UUAUCAGUUGAUUGAAGCUGUGUUAAAAGACAAGUCUGGCGGUGAAGCAGUACUUCAGGAGUACCAAACAACAGAAACCCUAACAGAUAUCACAAGAUGACAAAUUGUCAACAUACUGGUGGCUCACAUGAUUGAUAGUCAUGGAAACCUCCCCACUAAGGCAGUCAGAGAGGAAUAUGCUCUUGGCAUAGUGACACUAUGCCUCUAUCAUUUGAUGAUGAGACAUCCUCCAGGCUGCUUCAGAAGUGGGAUGUGUUCUUCAAACCAAACAUCAUAAAAGAGGCUAAGCGACUUACUUCAACAACAGAGUUGCGGCGCUUGUUACAGUCAGCAGAAUGUUCCAUUGGAAGUGAUGAGGCAACAUUUGAGUUUUAUUUGUUUUUCUUGUUUUAAAGUAUUUCCUGUAUCUCUGAAAAUGUAUCUGAUAUUUGGAAUACAUAUGAACAGUAGAUGGAGGACAUUUGAAAAUUCUUGAGUUAAUUCUUGUGAAUCUUUGUCCUCAGCUUACGACCAUGAAAUGGCCUUCCUGUUGUUGCUCAUACAUCUCCUUCCACCACCACCAGGAGGACCGAAGUCUCCAAAAAUCAGUGCAUGUGAUGCCAUUGAGAGACUUGUUGUCUUUCAUAAGUCAUGCUGCAGUAUGGAGGAGCAUCUCCGCAACCAGCAGGGCUGGCAGCCAUACCUCCUCGCUGUUGGCCGUCAGAAGAGCAAGAUCGACAGCUUCUACAUCGCCAUGCAUAAGGAUGUCAUCCCAUGCCAGGCAAACCGCUCCCUUGGGGCAUUUGAUGAACUUUUCAAAGCACAUUUUGAUGAAUAUAAAGUUGGGCUUGUUGUUUGCAGUGCAAUGGAAGAAGACAUUCCAGUCUUUUGUCAAAUACGUGAUAUACCACAUUUUUUUUAUGACAAUCAAGCUAUUCACAGAUAAUUUUGAUUGUCAUUAUCAUGCAUUCAGGGUAUCACAAAUUAGCAAAGUUUUAUAAUAAAAAUGUCUGAGCUUAAAUUUCACAAACCAUUUGAUAUCCAAAUUUCAUACAAUGUUUCAGAUGAAAGUUUGUACAUUUUACCUUCAUUCAGUAUGUUUUAGGUCAACUGUAUUAAUGACUG